GGGCGAUUAACUCAGUGGUAGAGUGCUACUUUCACACGGUAGAAGUCGCAGGUUCAAAUCCCGCAUCGCCCACCA
rnacentral:tRNA from 1 species